GAUGAACGCUGGCGGCGUGCCUAAUACAUGCAAGUCGAGCGAACAGACGAGGAGCUUGCUCCUCUGACGUUAGCGGCGGACGGGUGAGUAACACGUGGAUAACCUACCUAUAAGACUGGGAUAACUUCGGGAAACCGGAGCUAAUACCGGAUAAUAUAUUGAACCGCAUGGUUCAAUAGUGAAAGACGGUUUUGCUGUCUCUUAUAGAUGGAUCCGCGCCGCAUUAGCUAGUUGGUAAGGUAACGGCUUACCAAGGCAACGAUGCGUAGCCGACCUGAGAGGGUGAUCGGCCACACUGGAACUGAGACACGGUCCAGACUCCUACGGGAGGCAGCAGUAGGGAAUCUUCCGCAAUGGGCGAAAGCCUGACGGAGCAACGCCGCGUGAGUGAUGAAGGUCUUCGGAUCGUAAAACUCUGUUAUUAGGGAAGAACAAAUGUGUAAGUAACUAUGCACGUCUUGACGGUACCUAAUCAGAAAGCCACGGCUAACUACGUG
rnacentral:rRNA from 1 species